GGUUCUGUGUUCUAGUGGUUAUGAAACUCGGUUCUGAUGUGAGCCAUUGUCUCUUAUACAAGACUCCGAGCAGCCCCGGUUCGAUUCCGGGCAGGACCU
rnacentral:tRNA from 1 species